GUUUCUGCACAAAUAUCACUUCCUCUGAGAAACCUUCCUGAGAGUGGUAAAGUGGCCUCCUGCUCACCUCAUCAUCACAUCUAGAGUUCUACUCUUUCUGAGCCAUUUCUUAAUUGCACAUGCAACUAUCUGUUGUGAUGAUAUGUUUUACAUGCAUUGUUUUAACUUCACUUGCUAAAGCAACUUUGUCUUGUACUGAUGUAUAUUUAGGGCUAAGAAGAGAACCUGGCACAUUUUGGUUACUUAAUGAGAAUGUGUUGAAUAAAAAAAGAAGUAAACACUGUGGAACAUGUAUGGACAUAAUGGAAAUAACUUAUACUCCAUUAAUAGGAGAGAUGUGCGUCAUGCACACUUUCUUUUGAAUUGAGUCACUUUUUUCCCCCCUAAAAUACAUUUACUUGUUUUCUUAAAAUACAAGUGACUUCAGAGGCUAAAGUAGAGUUUUUUGCUUACCAAACAUCUUUGUUUAAUCUUGGGGAAGCAUGUAAUUCCAUUUUGAUUAUAAUGAAAUAACUUGUCCUUUAGAAGAGUUAUAUUAACUGCAAUUGUUCCUGCUAAUGGAAGCCUCAGCACUAGUGUAGAUCAUUUUAGUCUGCAGAUUUACAGAGAAAAGCUAGAAAUUUCCACUGUAAGUAACUUAGAAUAGAAAUUGAAAUGUAAGAGAUCUUGGAGAAGAGAUGAGGAUGAGUGCAAAGCUGGUUACUGCUAUUGUAACAGUACAUAGCUUUUAGCUUUUAUGUAUUACUGAAUAGUUUCAAAAUGUGUUCUUUCAUUCUCUUAUUUGACAAGUUAGGGGAAUGAGAGUUUUUGUUUUGUUUUGCUUUUGUUGUUGGGUUUUUUCUUUCUUUUUACUUUUAGCAUUUAGAGUAUACUCUCUGGCCUAUAGAAAUUUGUAAAUGGGAAGUUUGAGUACCAAGUAGUAAGCAUUCACAUGGAGAUCACACUGAGCCAAGUACUGUGGGAGCAGUGAGAAGGGAGGAUCUUACUCUGACUUGGGAAGUUAGGGCAGGCUUUAUGGUGUGGGGGACAUUUGACCUGUGUCCUGAAUGAUCCAGGAAGUAAUAUGUGUGUGUGUGUGUG
rnacentral:lncRNA from 1 species